AAGAUAAGAAAGUCGAGUAGAAAUAUAUCUUCUGAAUCUUAGAGUAAAAGGAGGUGGGAAUCAAACAAAGGUAGAUAUCUAAUAAUCAAUUUAACUGUCAAAUAAAGGGGUAAGCCCAAGAAAAGUCUUCCUCCCGUUGACAAAUCUCUGCAUCUCAAUUUGAUUCCCAUUUUCCUCUUCUUUCAUCCCGGCACUUGUCGCCUCUGAUUAUGCUCCCUUUCCUCGACGUCGGAGUGUCCGGACACCCGCCGGAGGAAGACGAUGAGCGCCGAUUACCUUCGCCGGAAACAGAGACAUGCAGGGAGGCGGUGGAAGACGAUGACGACUGCCGGCUCUUCUUCCCGGAUGAAUUCCUCUGGUCGUUGAAGGUUGUAGUGGUGGAGCUCAUGAACACAGUGGAUGUACGGAUAUUCUUCUUUGACCACAAUCUGAGAGUUCAUAGUCACUUCAUUGCGUUGCUUGGUUGAACCAAUAUGCUCAGCAACAUCUUCCACUUUGUCAGGUAACAUCUUACAGGGAAUGGGAUCCAAAGCUGCUUUGCAUUUCUUUCUGUGCUUAGAAACUGAACUUUUCCUUUCUUUGAUGGUAUCUUGAACAGAACUCUUGGAUUCUCUUGUAGGACGACCCCUUUUACUACCACUAGCUUUCUCUGAACCUUCUUUGUACCCCAUUUUAGUAGAGUUCUUCCCCAUUUGUCCUGCACUUUUUACCUUAGAUCCACCACAAAACCCACCUCCAUUCUUCUUGUUAAUUUCCGUCCAAACCACCGGACCAACGCAAACUCCAUCGCUUCGUUUCUGACAAACACGUAUGUCCAUCUCUCGUUUACCUUUAUCAGGUAACUGCUUACAGGAAAUGGGAUUCAAAGCUGCUUCACAUUUCUGUCUGUCCUUAGCUUUGAAGUUUCUCUCUUUGGUGCCUUGAAAGUUCCUGUCUUUUCCACCUUUGCGAACUCGGCCUCCAUUUGGACAACAAUCAAGAAAGGAUGAAGUCCCUUGUGGUUUCAUACUAGCUAGGAACAUCUCAUAUUGAUUACCAGAACACUCAACAAGGCUACGAACAUUUCCAUCAUCAUCAGAGGAAAUCUCAAUAACUGAUUGUUUGGCACUAACAUGAAGCUUGGUUGCAUCAUCUUCAUGAUGUUGUACAUAAAGAUCGGGCCUUUCCCUAACCCAGUGACCCUUUCUCUUGAGAACCCAAGGGUCUUCUGCUUCUAGCAUUAAUCCUACAUCUUUUCCUGUUGAACUUCGAAACGACAUUCUGCCUCGACUAUAUCUAGGGUAUUUUCUCAUUUCUGAUAUCUAGGGAAUAAACUAGUGGAUGACGAAAUGAAGGAACACAGAGCUGUCCCGAGAGAAAUAGAAACUAGAAAAAGGAUAAAAACAUUGGCAACUCACUGCAUUUUCAUUGGUUGGCUAGGGAUCUGAAAACUCUGGCUGAUGCACACAGAGGACAAAUUGACACCACCGUUGCAAUUAACAGAAUUCUUCUUAUUUUGUUGCUGAAUAUGACCGUUGGUAAUGAAGGGAGAGAUGAUGAUCUUUACCUGAUCUUCCUUCUACAUUCUCUCAAUUUAUUUCUUCCAUCAACAAAAGAAGUGGUGCAGAACAUGAUUCUGUAGAUUGAUCUAUGAGCAGCCUAUAAAAGGCUUGACUGUAGAUCACAGAAUGAAUUUGGAAUUUCUACUUUUAUUUCUUUUGAUGCACUUAAUUUUGUGAGCUUUUGUUGGUAAUUACUUUGGAGAGCUUUCCUUAUCACAUUGAUUGUUGUGAUGAUCGAGAAAUCGCUUCAAAGGCAGUGAUUUCUUCACGGCCACUGUUCUUUGUAUAUUUGUUAUAUUUUCAGUUUCCAGUUAAUUAUUAGUUGCUGAACUAACAUGAGAUUGAUUCAGGGAAACGAAUGGGAAACAGAUGCGAACACUAAACAGCCUUAUUUUGGUGGCUUCUUCCAAUGGUCUGCCGGCCGGCCUUGCUUAGUUGGAAUUCGAAUUUCCAGUUUCUUCUAUAUAUGGCUAAUGGCUUUCAGUGUCAUUGUCCAUACAGAAAGAAACAACAAUGAGACAAUUGAAGGAAACAAGAGAAUAAUUCUGAAAUUUUGAAGGCUGCCAUGAAAGAAACAGCUCUCCACAAAGAUUCCAGGAAUUAUGUCUUGGUAUUACAACAUCUAGUGCUAGGAAGAACCUUGUAAUAUAGUAACAAUAAUCUAUGAUUUUGAAUCCACAAUAACUCCACCGUACAUACUUUUUCUUUGAAGUGACCGGUUGAUA
rnacentral:lncRNA from 1 species